AACGAAGCACCUUACCGGAUUCUUCGGAUGAAAGUUUGGUGACUGAGUGGCGGACGGGUGAGUAACGCGUGGGUAACCUGCCCUGUACAGGGGGAUAACAGCUGGAAACGGCUGCUAAUACCGCAUAAGCGCACGAGGAGACAUCUCCUUGUGUGAAAAACUCCGGUGGUACAGGAUGGGCCCGCGUCUGAUUAGCUGGUUGGCAGGGUAACGGCCUACCAAGGCAACGAUCAGUAGCCGGUCUGAGAGGAUGAACGGCCACAUUGGAACUGAGACACGGUCCAAACUCCUACGGGAGGCAGCAGUGGGGAAUAUUGCACAAUGGGGGAAACCCUGAUGCAGCAACGCCGCGUGAGUGAAGAAGUAUUUCGGUAUGUAAAGCUCUAUCAGCAGGGAAGAUAAUGACGGUACCUGACUAAGAAGCUCCGGCUAAAUACGUGCCAGCAGCCGCGGUAAUACGUAUGGAGCAAGCGUUAUCCGGAUUUACUGGGUGUAAAGGGUGCGUAGGUGGCAGUGCAAGUCAGAUGUGAAAGGCCGGGGCUCAACCCCGGAGCUGCAUUUGAAACUGCUCGGCUAGAGUACAGGAGAGGCAGGCGGAAUUCCUAGUGUAGCGGUGAAAUGCGUAGAUAUUAGGAGGAACACCAGUGGCGAAGGCGGCCUGCUGGACUGUUACUGACAC
rnacentral:rRNA from 1 species